GGGGAUGAAAGGUUUCGACGAGGCAGAUAUUCGUUUGCGUGCCGCAAGUCGAGACGCCCGAUCUCGUAAAAAUGGGCAACACCAACAACUGCCAAAAAUACUGGCACUGCUUUCAACUUCGGCUUCUCCCGCACCAACGCUGUCGCGCUGGCUGCGUAAGCACCGAGUUGAAGCGCUGAUCGCUUGAGAUAGCGAUCACGGCCCCUGAUGAGGGUUCUGGCAGCGCAUCAGGCAAGCUGUCAUAGACUGCAAGAUGCUGUCUGGCUGACGCCGAUAAGCCAGACAAAAGAUGAUCGGCUAGCCCGCAAUGGAGACAUAGUCACAACUGUCCAGCGGGCGAAACCUGAUGUUGUGACUAAGCUUGUAGAUGUGCGCAGGCGACUGUUUCGGACCGGGGUUCGAUUCCCCGCAUCUCCACCU
rnacentral:tmRNA from 1 species